AGAGCUGGGGGGAGAGAGGAGUGAGCUGGAAGCCACCUCCAAUACAUACGCCCUCCGCACCUGUGAAGUGGCUGCUGUGGCUGGCACCGGGGGAGAGAGGCAAGGUCCCUGCCUUGUGAGGCUCACAUUCCAGGGCACAGAAGAGAGGCCGAGUCCCAAUUCCCAAAGUUCCCAGUGACUGGAUUCGGUUAACUCAGCGCAGCGAGAAGGUACAGAGGUGCGGCUGUGCAUUUCCCUCUCUGUCGAGAGACACAGACCAUCCAUUUGCUCCAGUACCACUGACGAAGAUCUCCUUUACCUCCCUCAUGACUCAAGAAUGGUUCAUUUGCUCUGGGGGAACCCAUCAGUUAUUCAACAAACACUUACUGAGCACCUGCUAGAUACCAGACACAACCCUGGGCACAGAGCAGCAAGCACCACGAAG